rnacentral:misc_RNA from 1 species
CAACCCUCAGGCCUAGCCUGGUGUUGGGGCACCGCGCGCGCCGCGGUCCCUGAAAAUCAGUGGCGGCUCCCUCACGAACCCGAGCGCAGUAGCUUUGCCUCGCUCUGGGCGCGUGGGGGCCCCCCGCCGUGAAACCUACUUCUAAA